UGGGGAAUAUUGCGCAAUGGGCGAAAGCCUGACGCAGCGACGCCGCGUGAGGGACGAAGGUCUUCGGAUUGUAAACCUCUUUCAGCAGGGACGAAGCGAAAGUGACUGUACCUGCAGAAGAAGCACCGGCUAACUACGUGCCAGCAGCCGCGGUAAUACGUAGGGUGCAAGCGUUGUCCGGAUUUAUUGGGCGUAAAGAGCUCGUAGGCGGUUUGUCGCGUCGGAUGUGAAAACCCAAUGGCUUAACCUUGGGCCUGCAUUCGAUACGGGCAAACUAGAGUGUGGUAGGGGAGACUGGAACUCCUGGUGUAGCGGUGGAAUGCGCAGAUAUCAGGAAGAACACCGAUGGCGAAGGCAGGUCUCUGGGCCAUAACUGACGCUGAGGAGCGAAAGCGUGGGGAGCGAACA
rnacentral:rRNA from 1 species